rnacentral:rRNA from 1 species
AUGGAACAGGAAGUUAGCAGUGACAAAAACAUGGUGGCACAAGACCACAACAAUGGCAGCCACUCCCGCGCAAACCCGAAAAGGCUCCGAUCGAAGGCGUGGGAAGACUUCACACCCAUCUACGUUGGUGGGAAGGUCGCGAAGGCUGAGUGCAUGCAUUGCCACCUGGUCUUCAAUAGCAACAGCACAAAUGGCACUAGCAACCUGCUUAAACACCAUGCCAUGUGCGGCCCCCGGGCCCAGAAGAGGCCAACACAACGGAAGAGUACAGCAGCAGCUGGCUCUGAUCCGACGCAGAAGAAGCUAUCGUUCUUUCCCACUAGCAAGAAGAAAUGCUUGGGCACAGCAGAUGCAAGGCCUGAGAAGAAGGAUCUUGUUUUGCUUCACAAUGACACUAAUCGGAAGAGCCAUGAGGGUAAUCAGAAUGGGUCUCAUGAGGAACUUGGAUCGCCUGAGCAGAAUGAUCUUGCCUUGCCUGAUGUUCCCACUGACAGAAAUACAAAGAGUCAACAAGUUGAUCAAAAUGGGUCUCAUGACGAACUAGCUACAGCUGAGCAGGAAAAUGAUGCCUUCCCUGACAAUCCCAUCAACAAGAAUGUAAAGAAUCAGUCCCAUGAGGAACUUGCAUUGCCUGAACACGAGGCCAUUCCUACUGCCAUAAAACUGAAGAAUCAGGAUGUUGGUCAGGAUGGAUCCCAUGGUGAGCUUGUUAGGAAAUUGGCCUUGCACGGUUACCUGCCCUCGAUGAUGGACCAUGGAGGACUCAGGAAGUCUGUGGAUUUCUUGAAUCCCGUGGUCAAGAUGCCAUCCUAUGCUGACUUGAUAUCUACAUUUUUGGAUUUGUUCGACAAUGAAAAGGCCAAGCUGAAGGAGAAGCUUGCAGCCCUUCGCAGUCGGGUAUGCUUGAGUGCUUACGUUUGGCACUACGAUCCAGUCUCGGCUUUCUUGUGCUUGAGUGUUCAUUACAUUGAUGAUGAAUGGGAGAGGCAACAAAAGAUCAUCACAUUUCGUGCCAUGGAUACUAUUUGCAAUGCAGAAGAACUGGGUGAAGCCAUAUUGCUGGCCAUCCGAGAUUGGGGUCUUUGUGGAAAAGUUUUCAGCAUUGUACUGGAUGAUGCAUUUAUUGAUGAUUCAGUGGCUUCAAGUGUCAAAGCACAGCUCAUGAAAGAGAACUCAACCUUUGCAAACCAGAGCUUGUUUGUGGUGCGUCGUGGAACUCAUUUACUUGAUCAGGUUAUUCAGGUGGGGCUGGAUGAACUUGAAAAAAUCAUGGAGAAAUCAGCAAACUGUUCUAAACCUAUGAUGGGUCCUAAGUAG